rnacentral:rRNA from 1 species
AACGAGAGCCCCAAGCAUUAUCCGGAUUUAUUGGGCGUAAAGAGUCCGUAGGCGGCUGAGUAAGUCUAAGGUUAAAACCCCAGGGCUCAACCUUGGGACUGCCUAAGAUACUACUUAGCUAGAGGGCGUUAAGGGCUGAUGGAACGGUCGGUGUAGGGGUGAAAUCCGUUGAUAUCGACCGGAACACCAAAAGCGAAGGCAUUCAGCUAGGGCGACCCUGACGCUGAGGGACGAAAGCCAGGGGAGAGAAGAGGAUUAGAUACCCUCGUA